rnacentral:rRNA from 1 species
GGCGAACGGGUGAGUAACACGUAGGUGAUCUGGCUUUGGGAUGGGGAUAGCUUGUGGAAACACAAGGUAAUACCGAAUAAAGUCCGAACUUAAAUGAAGAACGGAUGAAAGGGACUAAGGUCUUGCCUGAAGAUGAGCCUGCGGCUGAUUAGCUAGUUGGUGGGGUAAAGGCCUACCAAGGCGACGAUCAGUAGCCGGCCUGAGAGGGUGAACGGCCACACUGGGACUGAGAUACGGCCCAG